AAAGCAUUCCUGCAGUCUUUUCUGCCUGAUGAUCAUGAAGUUGAGUUGGAAAGAAGAAUUAGAGAAUGGAAACAAGGGUUUGAUGAAAAUCUUGGAACAUUUGCUUAUCAAUAUCGUGCCUUAUGCCUUCGACUGAAACCUUCCAUGUCAGAAAGGGAGAUACUCCAGGCUACUCUAAGAAACUGUAAUCCUCGGGUUGCCAGCAUACUCUGAGGCACUGUUUCUACGGUUGAUGAGUUGGUACGUGUUGGUACACUGGUGGAAAGGGAUGUUAGUGAAGAAAGAGCCUAUUGGAGACAGACACAAGCAGAGCAUCAGGCAAAGUCAAAUGGAGCUAAUAAAAUGGCAAAAGGCGGACAGUCAAAUCCUCACAUUGCGGUGUUGUCAGGAAGUAUAGAGAAAGAGCUUGACCCAUUGGUCCUGCCGAUAUCCAUCAGAAAUUACAUAUGUCAAGCAGUUUUGGACACUGGUAGCAAAAAACUGAAGUCAAGCAUGGAAACAUGGCUGUCCAGCAGAGGUCAGACCCUCUCACUGGCCAAUGGUCAUGUACAGACAACUCUAGGAAAGAUUGUUUGGAUUUGUACACUUCAUGGUCAUCAAUAUCCAUUUUGUGCCUAUGUGAUGAAGGAUCAAGAUCUAACUUUGCCUGUGAUACUUGGCCUGGAGUUUUUGAUGGAUUCAGGAAUCCAGAUUGAUUUCAAGGACAAUACCUAAAUCCUGACUGAAGAAAAUGAGGUAAAACAUCCAUUCAUGCUUUAUACUAAUUCAAUGGCAAUUAGUCAACAUCUGGCAUUACCUCUGGUUCACGUGCCUUUCCGCACAUUGGGAACCAUAAAAGAUCUGGCAAGUCGAGCUGAGGUUAACAGAACACAGAAAUGUCAGUUGGAAGCACUCAUGCUCAAGCGGCCAACAGUCUGUACAGAGUCCCUAGGACGAACCACUGUGAUUCAAAUUAAUGUGAUUCAGAUUAAAACUUCAGAUGAGAUUCCAGUCCGUAAACGAGCCUAUCCUGUUUCUAUUUUCAAACAGCAAUUCAUUGAUCAGGAAGUUUCAAAAUGUUGGAAAAAGGGAUAUUCAGACCAUCAACUUCUCCAUGGGCGGCUCCCAUAGUUCUUGUCCCUAAGAAGGAUGGUACUACGCGUUUCUGUAUUGAUUACAGGGCUAUAAAUGCCAAGACCCCUUUAGAUGGAUUUCCUAUGCUACAGAUCCAAUAUAUACUUGAAUAAAUGUACGGUGCUUCUAUUUUCAGUACAUUGGAUGUUAGAUCUGGCUAUUGGCAGGUGCUUAUGGAUGAGUAGAGUAUUCAGAAAACUGCUUUCAUAACCAAAAAUGCCCAGUAUGAAUUCCUGUGUCUACCAUUUGGACUGCGAAACUCUGAUGCAACUUUUCAGCGCCUGAUGAAUACAAUAUUGAGAGACUGUCUUGGAAAGUUCUGUUUGUCUAUCUCGAUGAUAUUGUCAUUUAUUCCCAGAAUUUCCAAGAGCAUUUUGAACUCCUUUAACGACUCUUUGACAUGUUAAAGCUGCUGGUUUGACCCUGAAUCUGUCAUAGUGCAACCUGCUCCAAGGAUCCAUCACUUUCCUAGGACAUGUUGUGUCUAAAGAAGGAGUUCGUACAGAAAAUGCCAAGGUGGAGGCGGUUCAAAAUGCUCCUGUUCCAACCACACUCAAAGAGGUACAAUGCUUUUUAGGCCUUGCAGGAUGGUAUCAUAGGUUUAUCCCUCAAUUUUCAGAGAUCGCUGCACAAUUGCAUGCCCUGAAGGGAAGAAAUGUUGUCUGGGAGUGGACAAUGGAAUGUCAACAGGCUUUUGAUAAACUGAAAAAUGCUCUUCCAAAAACACCUGUGUUGGCAUCUCUGGAUUUCACAAAAUGUUUUAAAGUCCAGACAGAUGCCACUGAUGUUGGGUUAGGAGCGGUGUUGACUCAGGACCACGACGGAGCUGAACAUGUUAUUGCUUAUGCUUCGAGACUUCUACAUGGGGCUGAGAAGUCCUAUUCCACGCCUGAAAAAGAAUGUCUUGCAGUGAUUUGGGCAGUCAAGAAAUGGAAACAGUAUCUGGAAGGAAAACAUUUAGAAGUAUUUACAGAUCAUGCUGCUUUUACGUGGGUUUUCAAUCAUCCCCGUCCAACUUCUCAACUGACCAGGUGGGCUUUGAGGUUACAAAGCUUUGACUUCACUGUCCAAUAUUUUAAGGGACAAUGUAAUGUAGUACCCGACACACUUUCUCGGAGUAUACCUUUUCAAGAAGUUAAAGGUCACAUUGCUUUUUGUCAAGCAACCAGCAUUGGGUCGGACUUACCUAUCAGCUGGGAUGAGAUUGGAAGUGCUUAGAAACAAGAUCCCUUACUUCAGCCUUUAUGGGAAAUGGCUAAGUUGACAGUAACAGACCCUAACCGCAUUCAUUAUGUCUUACAAAAUGACUAUUAAUUUUGUUGUGUGCCUAACAAACAUCAGGGUGAAACUAUGCAGAUAAUUGUACCAUUUGUCAUUAAAGGAAAUAUUCUUACAAUUUGCCCAUUCCAAUCCCUUGAGUGGACAUCUUGGACGGAUUAAAACUUUGAGGCGUUUACUUAAUGUGGUCUACUGGCUGGAGAUACGCAGAGAUGUUUGGGGCUUUUGUACCGUGUGUCAAACCUGUCAGAUUUACAAACCAAGAAUCUCAAAGCUGUCUGGUCACCUACAGUCGACACCUGUAGUCGAGCCAGGACACAUGUUUGGUGUCGAUCUCAUGGGUCCCUUCCCAAAGAGUUUGCAGUCUAAUGAAUAUCUGAUGGUGGUAGUAGACUAUUGCAAUAAAUGGGUAGAAUUAUUCCCUCUGAGAUCUGCUAAGACCCAUCUAAUUGUUAAUUUCUUAAUAAAGGAGAUCUUCACUCAAUGGGGUACGCCUACCUACCUUGUCUCAGAUCGUGGACCGCAGUUUACGGCACAACUUUUGAAUGAUGCAUGUAAGCGCUGGGGGGUUAUUCAGAAGCUAACCACAGCCUACCAUUCACAAACAAACCUUAAUGAAAGAACUAAUCGAACCCUCAAGGCUAUGAUAUCUUCUUAUGUUAAGGACAACCACAGGCAUUGGGAUAAAUGGAUAUCUGAUUUCCGAUAUGCCAUAAACACGGCAUGGCAGGAAAGUACAGGUUUAACCCCUGCAGAGAUUGCUUUAGGCCGAAAGUUAAAAGGACCCAUGGACCGAUUGGUACGAACUCCACCGCAACCUGAUCAUGUGGCCUAUGGGACUGUUGAAAGGCAGAGAGAGUUGUUUGAACAAGUAAAAGAGAAGACUAGUUAAGCUCAAGAACGACAAGCAAAGUACUAUAACCAAAGAAUGAAGCUUGAAUCAUUCGAUGAAGGAGACUUGGUCUGGAUACGUUCUCACCCUCUGUCUCGGUCUGCAGACUCGUAUAUGGCUAGGUCUAGCAGAAAUUAUGAAGAAGUUAAACAAUGUAAACUACCAGGUAGUAAUGUUGGAUGAUUCAAAGCGAGUUGAAAAUUUUCAUUCAGUUUUAUGGUGAUGUUUAAACACUUUUUUUCUGAGGAGAGGGGUAUGUAACAGUUAUCCUGUUACUAAUAUAGACCAGUAGUUUUCUCCAGUGUAUUUACCAUUAUUACUCACCUGAGCAUUAGGGGGCGCUCUAUUUUUAGGUGAAUUAGUAGGCCUAUUUAAGGAGACAAAGAAAGAGAAAUGGCAGGAAGUUUGUUUCCUCAUGGUGGUUGUGGCCUUUUUUUUUUUUACCCUUGUUGAGGAACUUUAGAGUUCUAAGCUCAUCUAGGGUUUGUGUUCUAAAUGUAUAUGGAUUACCUGGGGACAAAAACAACUGAGAAGAUUGGAACUAAGAGUGAUUUCCAUUUAGUACUUGAUUGUUGCCUGUUGCAAGACAAACUUUCCCUUCAAGCAUGGCAAAGCUCUCUGAUAAUUGAACUCUGCUGUGGAUCAUCUUGCCACUUAAGUACUGUUUUCUCUAUUCAUAUUCAACAAAGACUGAGAAAAGCUUAGGAUCCUAAUAGAGAAGAAACCAAGGACUGUGCUUUAUGUGAUGGACCAUAUUUCUUAUCCACUGUUUCUACCUGUUUGAUGUUGAAUUGUGUUAUGUUGAAUAAUGAAUGUUUGGUGUGACUAUGUUUAAUACAUUUGACUCAUGAGUGAGA